rnacentral:lncRNA from 1 species
GUUAAAGAAGAAAGAUGAGAAGAUUCAAGUAUUGCCAAGUUAGAGACCUUAAUUCUUGAUCCAAGCCUUAGUUUUUAGUCUUGCCUAAUGAAUUGCUUGGAAAUUGAAAAAUAAAAUUUGGAACAAUCUGUGGCUCCGUGUUGUUCUCUGGGAGAACUAAUAUUGUAAUCUGCAGAAAUCUUUUCUUUUUCAUACAAAUUUUGGGCUGUUAUAAACUAAAGCAAAAGACAAGAACAAUAGAGCAAGAACAAUAGCUAUAGAGAGAAG